rnacentral:rRNA from 1 species
CCAAUAAAGUUUUCUUUAUUGGGGUUGAGGACAUACCACAUAUAAGAGGUCAUUAUAGACGAAGAAGUUUGGAAAAACUCAUCAUAGAAGGUAAUAAUCCUGUAGUCAAAAUAAUAAUUCUUUAGGUAUGAUCCAGAGUACCACGGGACACGUGAAACCCUGUGGGAAGCAGGAGGGACCACCCUCCAAGGCUAAAUACUACCUAGUGACCGAUAGCGUAUAGUACCGUGAGGGAAAGGUGAAAAGAACCCCGGGAGGGGAGUGAAAUAGAACCUGAAACCCUGCACUUACAAGCUGUGGAAGCACAUUUCUUGUGUGACCGCGUACUUUU